rnacentral:rRNA from 1 species
GCACCCACCGCGUCGUCGAAGCCGGCCAAGUCGGGUGGACGCAAGCAGAAGAAGAAGUGGAGCAAGGGCAAGCAAAAGGAGAAGGUGAACAACGCGGUGAUCUUCGACCAGGCCACCUACGACAAGCUGCUCACCGAGGUGCCCAAGUACAAGCAGAUCACGCCCUCCGUCCUCUCCGAGCGACUCAGGAUCAACGGGUCGCUGGCUCGUAGGGCCAUCAAGGACCUGAUGGAGAGGGGACUCAUUAGGAUGGUGUCAAUCCACUCCAGCCAGCAGAUCUUCACCAAGGCAACAAACACUGCCACCAGUCAUGUUAAUAUUCAGCUGUAUUUUAUAGUUGAAUACCUGUUUGUACUGCCCAAAUAG